rnacentral:rRNA from 1 species
UACAGAGGUCCCAAGCGUUGUUCGGAUUCACUGGGCGUAAAGGGUGCGUAGGUGGCGAGGUAAGUCGGAUGUGAAAGCUCGGAGCUCAACUCCGAAAUGGCAUUGGAAACUACCUGGCUUGAGGGUUGGAAGGGGGACUGGAAUUCUCGGUGUAGCAGUGAAAUGCGUAGAUAUUGGGAAGAACACCGGUGGCGAAGGCGGCUCUCUGGACCGAGACUGACGCUGAGGCGCGAAAGCGUGGGGAGCAAACAGG